rnacentral:sRNA from 1 species
GGAUGUGAGGGCUACCUGGCCACCACAUCUGUCACCCCAUUGAUCACCAGGGUUGAUUCAGCUGAUCUGGCUGGCUAGGCAGUUGACCCCUUCCUCCUUCGCUGUUCCAUGUGUGUCCCUCCUGAAGCUGCCCAAGGAUGACCUUCUGUGAUAGAGGAGGACUGUAGGGAUGACUUACAAGAUGAAUAUAAUUGGCAGGAUUGACUUUUAAUUAACCCUAGCAA